CCUACGGGUGGCAGCAGUGAGGAAUAUUGGUCAAUGGGCGGGAGCCUGAACCAACCAAGCCGCGUGAGGGAAGAAGGUACAGCGUAUCGUAAACCUCUUUUGUCAGGGAACAAAGGCGGGGACUAGUCCCCGGAUGAGGGUUCCUGAAGAAAAAGCAUCGGCUAACUCCGUGCCAGCAGCCGCGGUAAUACGGAGGAUGCGAGCGUUAUCCGGAUUUAUUGGGUUUAAAGGGUGCGCAGGCGGCCUGUUAAGUCAGCGGGAAAAGCCCGGGGUUCAACCCCGGCGAGCCGUUGAAACUGGCGGGCUGGAGUUGGAGAGAAGUACGCGGAAUGCGCGGUGUAGCGGUGAAAUGCUUAGAUAUCGCGCAGAACCCCGAUGGCGAAGGCAGCGUACCGGCUCCACACUGACGCUGAGGCACGAAAGCGUGGGUAUCGAACAGGAUUAGAUACCCUGGUAGUC
rnacentral:rRNA from 1 species